rnacentral:rRNA from 1 species
ACGGGGCCCGCACAAGCGGUGGAGCAUGUGGUUUAAUUCGACGCAACGCGAAGAACCUUACCGAGGGCUUGACAUCCCCUGACCGCGUAUGAAAGUACGUUUUCACCCUCGGGUGACAGGGAGACAGGUGGUGCAUGGUUGUCGUCAGCUCGUGUCGUGAGAUGUUGGGUUAAGUCCCGCAACGAGCGCAACCCCUACGUUUAGUUGCUAACAGGUGAAGCUGAGCACUCUAGACGAACUGCCGUUGACAAAACGGAGGAAGGUGGGAUGACGUCAAAUCAUCAUGCCCCUUAUGUUCUGGGCUACACACGUGCUACAAUGGCCGGUACAGACGGAGGCGAAGCCGCGAGGCGGAGCAAAUCCGAAAAAGCCGGUCUCAGUUCGGAUUGCAGGCUGCAAUUCGCCUGCAUGAAGUCGGAAUCGCUAGUAAUCGCAGGUCAGCAUACUGCGGUGAAUACGUUCCCGGGCCUU